rnacentral:misc_RNA from 1 species
AACGGUCUAUACCUGCGGUACCUGCGGAGGGAUCAUUACAGAGAACUUGCCCGUCUGGGUAGAUCUCCCACCCUUUGUUUACUAUACCUUUGUUGCUUUGGCAAGCCUGUCUUGUGACUACUGGCCUCCAGCUAGUAAGUGCUUGCCAGAGGACCCCAAACACUUUACAUUGUGUUGUCUGAGUAGUACAGAAAUUUUUAAAACUUUCAACAAUGGAUCUCUAGAUCGGAAGAGCACACG